CCCCCCUUUCCCUUUCUCUCUCCUUCUCUCUCUCUCUGGGUGUGCGGUUGGCACAGGCUUGGCGGCCCCUCCUUUCCCCGCCUGCCAGGCCCCGGGGCUCCUGCGCGGACGUGUCGGGACUCGGGCUUGGGGCGCGGGCGCGGCGGGUGCUCGCUGCGCGUGGACGGCGCUCGCCUUCCUCCUCUCCAGAGAGGAACCAGGAGGAGGAGGAAGGAGCACAAGAAGCCCUUCGGGACCCCCUCUGAGCCCGGCCUGACCUCCUCUUGCCAGCCCCGCACUUCCCUUACCCACCCCACUCAGAACCAAGGCGCUAGCGUGGAACAGUCAAAAGUUGUAGCGAGAAGAGGGUGUGUACCUAGAUAGGGAGCGGCGGAGGUGGUGGGGGGGGGGGAGGGGGGAGAGCGCUCCUUGCCAGCCUCCUUCUUCCUCUCCUCGCCUUGCCUCGCUCUCAGAUGGGGGGCAGAGGAGGAGCAGGACCUGUCCGCACGCCGCGCCGAAGAGAAGACAACCCCGCGCUGGUGCCGCCUUCGCCAACCUGCCCCGCGCCUCCACGCCUGACCCACUGAAGGAAGGAUAUAUUGGGGUGGAAAGCAGAGCAGAAAGCAGGCCCGGGGUGUAGAGUUCGGACUCGCAGGUUGUUGCAAAGAGUUCUAUCCCUCGCCAUGGCUAAGAAACCAGGCAAAGGCAUGAGGUCCUCCAAGAGCAGGAGAACGGGGCAAGAGUAGGCAGCCCAGGAGAGACAGCCCACUCACUCCAUCCUCGCCCAGUUUGCCCUCGCAUCCAACCAGCUGCUGGGAGAGAGGAAACUUCGAGCAGAGCAUCCAAAGAUGGGACAUCAUCCGCUGCUUCUCUGGCUCGGUCCCCUGCUUCUUCUCAGCCUUUGGGGCCAAAGGGACUAUCAAAUGCAGCAUUGUCCAAACACGAAUCAAGGAACACGAAAGGCACUGCAAACUAUCCCAACCAGAGAAGUCAGCCAUGGCAGAGCACUUGAUGAACCAACCUGGACACAGCAUAUUAUUUGAGAACACAGAAAUGCUGGACCACUCAUGUCAGACUACACAGUCUGAAAUCCACAAGCAUGUGGACAUUUUCAACAGAAAGAAGGAAACCAUGAAAAUAAACAAAAGCUGGCUACCAGUAUUUUAAAAAACUCUAAAAUCAGGACAUUAAAUAAAAAACAACACUCUGAAAACAGGGGAACUCCAGACAUGAAACAAUUAGGGCCAGCUAACACCUCUUAACAAAGGAUUCACCCAGGCAGGAAGAAGCCAGGCUUUCAAGCUACAACACUUUUCAGUGCUAAUCAAGGCGAUUAACUGCAACAUUUGCACUUGCCUUCAACAGACAAGAAUUCUUACUCCCACCCUGAACCUUCCACAGAUAUAUAAACCCCACUUGUCUAGUUUCCAAC
rnacentral:lncRNA from 1 species